UACCAGCACCCCGAGUGGUCGGGGCGAUUAUUGGGCCUAAAGCAUCCGUAGCCGGUCAUGCAAGUCUUCCGUUAAAUCCAGCCGCUCAACGGUUGGGCUGCGGAGGAUACUACGUGGCUAGGAGGCGGGAGAGGCAAGCGGUACUCAGUGGGUAGGGGUAAAAUCCUUUGAUCCAUUGAAGACCACCAGUGGCGAAGGCGGCAUCCUGGACCGACAUUGGCGCUGAGGAGCGAAAGCUAGGGGAGCAAACGGG
rnacentral:rRNA from 1 species